CCGGCGACCGGCGCACGGGUGAGUAACACGUAUGCAACCUGCCCGUGGCAGGGGGAUAAGCGGGGGAAACCCCGUCUAAUACCGCGUAACGCGGCCUAGGGACAUCCCAAGGCCGCCAAUGGGAGCAAUCCCGGCCACGGAUGGGCAUGCGGCGCAUUAGCUAGUCGGCGGGGUAACGGCCCACCGAGGCGACGAUGCGUAGGGGUUCUGAGAGGAAGGCCCCCCACACUGGUACUGAGACACGGACCAGACUCCUACGGAAGGCAGCAG
rnacentral:rRNA from 1 species